rnacentral:misc_RNA from 1 species
AAGGAUAAAGUUAUCAUCUUCAGUUUUGAGAGACUUAAGAAAGUUUUUCAUUUUUUAAGAUUCGGGCCUAUAGCUCAGCUGGUUAGAGCACACGCCUGAUAAGCGUGAGGUCGGUGGUUCAAGUCCAUUUAGGCCCACCAAAAUAGGUCAA